rnacentral:lncRNA from 1 species
GGAAGGGGGCUGGCUGUAUGCCCUCCUGGUUCAACCUCUGAUUGACCCUGGAGGGCAUCUAGUCAUCCACCCCUGCCCGCCCCCCCCCCAGGGAAGCCUGGGACAUAGGAUGGGUAUGAGGCCUCAAUCCCAGGAAGAACUGGGGUAAAAUAUCCCAGUUCCUCCCAAGAUUGAGGCCCUGAGUAGAAGGGCCCUGAGAAUUGGACUAGAAUUAUGAGAAACCAGUAUUUAAUCCCUGCUCAGCCAUGAAAACACAGUGGGUGAUAUUACAUAAGUCACAUACAAGGUCUUAGGGUUAGCAAUGAGGAACUUCUACUAAGUAAAUCUUGCCAAAGAAGCCUCUUAAUGGAAUCACAAUAAUUCAGAAAGCUUGAAAACACAUAACAAACGCAGAUGGAAGAGGGUAGGAUCAUGUUGGCUAUCCUUCUAGCCUUCACAUACUAAGUUUAGGAUCGAGUACUUCCCUGGUACAGUAGAGUCUCACUUAUCCAACAAAAACGGGCCGGCAGAACGUUGGAUAAGCGAAUAUGUUGGAUAAUAAGGAGGGUUUAAGGAAAAGCCUAUUAAAUGUCAAAUUAUAUUAUGGUUUUACAAAUUAAGCACCAAAACAUCCUGUUUGAAAUACAAAACCCCUGGAAGCUGGGAACACACUGAUAUACUGUAGAUUAAUCAUCUCUAGAAUCCCAUAUUGAGCAGAGCAAUGGCAACGCUGGGAAACAAUUUGCUAAAUAUUUGAUAUUGGUCAACUGUCUCCAGAAUCUCACCUGGAGCUGGGUGGCUCUGUGUUGGGAGGAGGGCUUGGUUUGUGCCUUCCAGCCUGGCAGAACGGGGCUGGGCUGGAGAGCCUCUGAAGGGAGGAGGGGGUCUCUUGUGUUUCUAGGGUGCUAUGCCUCUAAUGAUCCUUGCUUGGGUUAAAAGAGGAGGAGGAGGAGGAGGAGGAGGAGGAGGAGGAGACCAGAAGUGCAAGUUGCAGCAAGGCUGAUGGGUAAAAGAGGGAGAAGAGGGAGGAGGAGGAGGAGGAGGAAGAGAGAGUGCGUGGGGGAGAAAAAGGGAGAAGGAGAGAGAGGGGGAUCUGGAGCAAAGUGUGUGUGUGUGCAGGAGGAAAAGGGGGUCCUACGCCCACCCGCCCAGGACUUCUAA